AUGAGUGUACGGGGAGAGAACGUAAUGUUGCGUCGCCGAAGGAGCAAGUAGAGAAGCUAUGAAUCUCUCAGGCAAAAAGACUCGUACAGGACG
rnacentral:ncRNA from 2 species